rnacentral:rRNA from 1 species
CCCAGACUCCUACGGGAGGCAGCAGUAGGGAAUCUUUCACAAUGGGCGAAAGCCUGAUGGAGCAACGCCGCGUGCAGGAUGAAGGCCUUCGGGUUGUAAACUGCUUUUAUAAGCGAGAAAUAUGAUGGUAACUUAUGAAUAAGGAUCGGCUAACUCCGUGCCAGCAGCCGCGGUAAUACGGAGGAUGCGAGCGUUAUCCGGAUUUAUUGGGUUUAAAGGGUGCGCAGGCGGAAUGUCAGGUCAGCGGUAAAAUUUCGGGGCUCAACCCCGUCGUGCCGUUGAAACUGGCGUUCUUGAGUGAGCGAGAAGUAUGCGGAAUGCGUGGUGUAGCGGUGAAAUGCAUAGAUAUCACGCAGAACUCCGAUUGCGAAGGCAGCAUACCGGCGCUCAACUGACGCUCAUGCACGAAAGCGUGGGUAUCGAACAGGAUUAGAUACCCCAGUA